AAGCGCUUGUGACCAGACUUGCGCCCGGCGGAUCAUCCGGUGUUCUCACCGGUGCACUCCGUCGGGCUCAGGCCAGCAUCGGUUCUUGCGGGGGGAUAAAAGCCUUGGGAACGUAGCUCCUCCGGG
rnacentral:rRNA from 1 species